CCGAGCAGCCGCGGAUCAGGCAGAGACGCUCCCGGGCGAGAGUCUGUUGUGCUUACUGUCUGCGGCAAGUCCAGGAGCUGAGCUACACCGGAAAGAGGGCGGAGGAGAGGCACCCCUCGGUGCUGUUUGAUGGGACAGAGGCGGCGGGGCGGCAGCCGCCACCCAGCAAGAAGGAGAAAGGAUGCUCUGAGUUCCCAAGUGGCGGUGACGGGCCCAGAGUCCCAGCCACAGAGAGGUCGGGACCCGAGGCUGGGCGGCGGUGGCGGCCAACGGGUGCCCUUUGGGCAUCUGCAGUCCACCGGAGCAGGGAAGUCCAGGUCUUGGCCCACAGUCAACCCAGCAGGUUGGGCAAGUUAACCAAGUGGAGCGCUGCCUGGGAAGACGGAGUUCCCACACCCCGGAGCCCCAGGGACGUCCAGGACCCAGGCCUAGCUGCUCCAGGAGUUGGGUCUGACUCAUCUUCCCAGUGAGCCUGCAGAGGCCCAGGAGCAAACACUGGAACCCAGGGUAUGUCUUCCAGGGUGACCUUGAGCACAGCCCACAUCCCUUCUCGGUUUUUUCAUCCCAGGUUAGUAACGUUUACUCCGUUGGUUGUAUCGAUGACUUGGAAAAAUGGGUGUGGAAAUGCUAGGGAAACUGGAAAGAAAGUGCUUUACAGACUUCGAAGGCACUGAGGCCCACACACCUUUAGAAAUUUGCCCGUGACCUUCAGAGACUGCUGGGGCUGGAACCCAGGUGUGCCACCUUCCCAGUCCGGACACCCAAAGUCCCAGGAGACUGGAGAGGUCUGCACUGUUCUGGUCAACUCCGAGAUGGCGGUUGGGUAAGAAAUGGUUAAAACCAGGAAAUUCCAUGUUUCUAGAGAAUGUUGGAGGGACUUUCCCAUGGCAACACCUGGUGGUUUCCUCUGGCAGCCCCACCCCUAGCACAGUGACACCAGAGGGGGAGCCCGGCUGAGAACUGGUGCUCAGGCAGAUACACCUGCUGAUAACCGGCAGCCCGAGGCAUUGCUGCGGGGCCAGCCCCGGGCGCUGCCCUGCUGCCUCUCACAGCAGGGCCAGGAAGAACCUUCCUGGACCCUUGGCUCUCCACCCAGGAUUCCCAGCUUUCCACCGGCCUGGCAGUAGGAGAAUUGCACUUCCUCGGCACCCUCUGCUGAGGCGGGGCCAACCAAAGCCCUUCGGUGCUGUUACAAGACCUCACCCCAGGGCGCCUGCCCUCUGACCCUGUGAUUCUGUUAGACUUGGUGACUGCUUCGUCAGGGUCCCCACGUGACUGUCAUCAGCAGAGCCCCCUGCUGGCCCACAAGAGACAUGUGCCUUUGAUGAGAAACCGACCUUUGUUGUUUUAAGCCAGAGGUUUGCAACAGAACCCAGCCUAUCCCUAAAAGUCUCAUUUUUCCCUGAUGAACUUUGCGUCCUUACCAGCACUCCCUACUUUUCUCUCUCCAGCAAGCCCAGUCUGUCUUUCCCAGGGUCUUAGGUACCCUCAAAACACAAUGAAGGUGUGUCUAGCAGCUGCUGGGAAGCCCGCACUGGGUGCUGAGGACACAAGGCGGCUGCCCAGCCCACUCCAGUCUGACCCAUUUCCCGUCUACUGAAAGAGCUCUGCGUCACCGAAGAAUGAUUGCCUCUCUAGCUGGCCCCAUCUUACCCACUGGCAUCUGACAGCCAAGCCUCCCUCCUCCUUGAAACCAGUCCUUCACUUGGUGUUUGUGACACUGUGCUCUCCAAGCACCUACCUGUCACCCGCUCCCUCUGUCUUUGCCGGCGCCUUCCUCUCUACUGGAUUUCUAAUUACUGGGACCUUCUUUGUUUCCAUUUACACAUUCUUCCUGGGAAUCUCGUAAUUUGACUAUCUCCAUAAUAAAAUAGAUCCUGAAUUUCUGUGCAGGUGUGCUCCGUCCCUAAAACCCCAUAUCAUAUACUCAAGAGUCUAUUUGAUAGUUCUAUCUGGACGUCUAGUAGUCAUUCCAGCUUUCCCAGGCUACACGGAAUUUCUUGAUUGACUGUACUACUCCUUCCCCAGGCACUAAUGACCUAUUACGCUGUUUCAUUUUCAGAGUCCUGCUUGGCUUAUUUAUCUGUUCUCCCUCACACCAGAAAGAAAGCGCCAUUAUCUGUUUCUCC